GAAUAUCUCGAGGAACUUGAUGAAAUUAAUUGCUCAGCCCGAGGUAAUGUAUUGAAUCAAUAUUUGAGCAACACUUCAAUUGGAACGACAGUAAGCCUGGCCUAGGUUUUUUGUAGUGUGAAUGCACUUCAGCCUGGCCUAGGCCAGGAAAUCUCGGUCCAUCAGUUUGUUUACACUACAAAAAUCUAGUUCAAAGGUAGGCCCAGGCCAGGAUUAGGCUCGUAGUGUAAACACAGCUUUACACUACCUAAAAGAUAAACAAGAACUUCUUGUUUAUCUUUCAGAGUCUAUCUCAUUUACCAGGAGUACCUACACUGGCACCCCACUUCCUUGAGGUCCAUUUACAUGAUACGACUAGUCAUAUACUAUUGUCGUUCUGUCUUGAUUGUCGUUCAAGCAAUUGCUGACACAAACUAUUUCUGUUCAAUAGUUUAUAUCAAAAUUUGUAAUGUGGCAUCUUUGCAUACAUCAGGCACAGAUUUUCUGGGGGGGGGGGGUGCACCCCCCAGAA